rnacentral:rRNA from 1 species
GGCCACUGCUAUCGGGGUCCGACUAAGCCAUGCGAGUUAAGGGGCACCCUUCGGGGAGCACCGGCGCACGGCUCAGUAACACGUGGCUAACCUACCCUCGGGUGGGGGAUAACCUCGGGAAACUGAGGCUAAUCCCCCAUAGGGGAGGAGGUCUGGAAUGAUCCCUCCCCGAAAGGCGUUAUGCCGCCCGAGGAUGGGGCUGCGGCGGAUUAGGUAGUUGGUGGGGUAACGGCCCACCAAGCCUACGAUCCGUACGGGCCCUGAGAGGGGGAGCCCGGAGAUGGACACUGAGACACGGGUCCAGGCCCUACGGGGCGCAGCAGGCGCGAAACCUCCGCAAUGCGCGAAAGCGCGGCGGGGGGACCCCGAGUGCCCACGCUCUGCGUGGGCUUUUCCGGAGUGUAAACAGCUCCGGGAAUAAGGGCUGGGCAAGUCCGGUGCCAGCAGCCGCGGUAAUACCGGCGGCCCGAGUGGUGGCCACUGUUAUUGGGCCUAAAGCGUCCGUAGCCGGCCCGGUAAGUCUCUGCUUAAAUCCUGCGGCUCAACCGCGGGGCUGGCAGAGAUACUGCCGGGCUUGGGACCGGGAGAGGCCGGGGGUACCCCAGGGGUAGCGGUGAAAUGCGUUGAUCCCUGGGGGACCACCUGUGGCGAAGGCGCCCGGCUGGAACGGGUCCGACGGUGAGGGACGAAGGCCGGGGGAGCAAACCGGAUUAGAUACCCGGGUAGUCCCGGCUGUAAACUCUGCGGACUAGGUGUCGCGUCGGCUUCGGGCCGACGCGGUGCCGAAGGGAAGCCGUUAAGUCCGCCGCCUGGGGAGUACGGUCGCAAGACUGAAACUUAAAGGAAUUGGCGGGGAGCACUACAACGGGUGGAGCCUGCGGUUU